CCUACGGGGUGCAGCAGUGAGGAAUAUUGGUCGAUGGACGAGAGUCUGAACCAGCCAAGUAGCGUGAAGGAUGACUGCCCUAUGGGUUGUAAACUUCUUUUAUAUGGGAAUAAAAUGUUCCACGUGUGGGAUUUUGUAUGUACCAUAUGAAUAAGGAUCGGCUAACUCCGUGCCAGCAGCCGCGGUAAUACGGAGGAUCCGAGCGUUAUCCGGAUUUAUUGGGUUUAAAGGGAGCGUAGGUGGAUUGUUAAGUCAGUUGUGAAAGUUUGCGGCUCAACCGUAAAAUUGCAGUUGAAACUGGCAGUCUUGAGUACAGUAGAGGUGGGCGGAAUUCGUGGUGUAGCGGUGAAAUGCUUAGAUAUCACGAAGAACUCCGAUUGCGAAGGCAGUUCACUGGACUGCAACUGACACUGAGGCUCGAAAGUGUGGGUAUCAAACAGGAUUAGAUACCCUUGUAGUC
rnacentral:rRNA from 1 species